rnacentral:rRNA from 1 species
CCAAUAGCGUAUAUUAAAGUUGUUGCAGUUAAAAAGCUCGUAGUUGAAUUUCGGGACCAAUAUGUCGGUCGUACUUUGUACGUACUAGCAUCAUUGGUUUCUCCCUUCUGAAGAACCGCGAUGUCAUUAAUUUGGUGUCGUGGGGAAUCAGGACUGUUACUUUGAAAAAAUUAGAGUGUUUAAAGCAGGCUCGCGCUUGAAUACAUUAGCAUGGAAUAAU